rnacentral:rRNA from 1 species
UGGGCAACCUGCCCCAGACACAGGGAUAACCCCGGGAAACCGGGGCUAAUACCGGAUACUCCGGUCGAACCGCAUGGCUCGAUCGGGAAAGCUCCGACGGUCUGGGAUGGGCCCGCGGCCUAUCAGCUUGUUGGUGAGGUAAUGGCUCACCAAGGCGACGACGGGUAGCCGGCCUGAGAGGGUGACCGGCCACACUGGGACUGAGACACGGCCCAGACUCCUACGGGAG